GGCUCUGGCGCUGCACUGACCCUUGGGCCUCAGCCCUUCACCCCUCCAGGGAGGGGGAUGGAACUCUGAAGCUCUGGAUGCUUCCUACACUUUGCAAGGUUAUGUGGCCAAUAGCAUGGGAAGCAGGAUGCUUGUCUCCCAGAUUCAAAAGGCUACAGUCUUCCUAACACAUCGGGCUGCUUUCCCAAAGGGUAGCUGACAAGUGAUAGAACUUAAGUCUUUGUAAAUGCUUAGCUGGAAGCUGUGUGCACCUGUUCUGUGGUUCCACCAUUCAAUGUGGAGACCAGUGCUUUUCAAGCCAGGGUUUGUGGCACUUCCAGACACAUCCAAUGAGCUUGAGGAGGUGCCAUGAUGUUCUCAAAAAAAGUUCUCAGAAACUGAUAUACAAUUUCAUUAAGGAAUAACUAUAUGCCAUACGGAAUUUUUGCUGGUGAGAAGCAUCAGCAAAAUCGAUAACCUUUUAUAGUUCCAGAAACUUUGACAAUCAGUGGCACUAGAGUGUCAGUCUAGAUCUGUAUUUGUCCUAAAUGCAAAUGGUUUAAGACUUAUCCAUCUAUCUGGGUAAUUGCUAACUCAAGCAUGCAAAAACUACGAGUUCACUACUUAAUUCCAAGGGUAGCAAAAGAAGAGGCCAGUGGAUCUACAGCCUAGUAGAAGACUAAGAAGUAUGUCAUUUUCUACCAGACAG